rnacentral:rRNA from 1 species
UACAGAGGUGCCAAGCGUUAGGCGGAAUCACUGGGCUUAAAGCGCGCGUAGGCGGAUGUUUAAGUGUCUUGUGAAAUCCCACGGCUCAACCGUGGAACUGCUGGGCAUACUGGACAUCUCGAGGCACUCAGGGGCGAGCGGAACAAGUGGUGGAGCGGUGAAAUGCGUAGAUAUCUGGAGGAACACCGGUGGCGAAGGCGGCAUCCUGGACCAACACUGACGCUGAUGAGCGAA